GAAAGAUUCAUCGGAAGAGGAUGGGCAUGCGGCGCAUUAGCUAGACGGCGGGGUAACGGCCCACCGUGGCGACGAUGCGUAGGGGUUCUGAGAGGAAGGUCCCCCACACUGGUACUGAGACACGGACCAGACUCCUACGGGAGGCAGCAGUAAGGAAUAUUGGUCAAUGGGAGAGAUCCUGAACCAGCCAAGCCGCGUGAGGGAAGACGGCCCUAUGGGUUGUAAACCUCUUUUGUCGGAGAACAAAACCCGGGACGUGUCCCGGACUGCGUGUAUCCGAAGAAAAAGCAUCGGCUAACUCCGUGCCAGCAGCCGCGGUAAUACGGAGGAUGCGAGCGUUAUCCGGAUUUAUUGGGUUUAAAGGGUGCGUAGGCGGUCCGUUAAGUCAGCGGUAAAAUUGCGGGGCUCAACCCCGUCGAGCCGUUGAAACUGGCAGACUUGAGUUGGCGAGAAGUACGCGGAAUGCGCGGUGUAGCGGUGAAAUGCAUAGAUAUCGCGCAGAACUCCGAUUGCGAAGGCAGCGUACCGGCGCCAGACUGACGCUGAGGCACGAAAGCGUGGGGAUCGAACAGGAUUAGAUACCCUGGUAGUCCACGCAGUAAACGAUGAAUGCUGGUUGUCCGGGUCGAAUGAGAUCUGG
rnacentral:rRNA from 1 species